rnacentral:rRNA from 1 species
GACGUAGGGUCCAAGCGUUGUCCGGAUUUACUGGGCGUAAAGAGCGCGUAGGUGGCUCGUUAAGUGUAGAGUGAAAUCUCUGGGCUCACCCCAGAAACUGCUCUGCAUACUGGCGAGCUGGAGUGAUGAAGAGGUUUGUGGAAUUCCUGGUGUAACGGUGAAAUGUGUUGAUAUCAGGAGGAACACCCAUGGCGAAGGCAGCAACCUGGUCAUAAACUGACGCUGAGGCGCGAAAGCGUGGGUAGCAAACAGG